rnacentral:rRNA from 1 species
GAACGGAGAAUUGCUAGCUUGCUAAUAAUUCUCUAGUGGCGCACGGGUGAGUAACACGUGAGUACCUGCCCCCGAGAGCGGGAUAGCCCUGGGAAACUGGGAUUAAUACCACAUAGUGAAAUAAAGCAGCAAUGCGCUUGGGGAUGGGCUCGCGGCCUAUUAGUUAGUUGGUGAGGUAACGGCUCACCAAGGCGAUGACGGGUAGCCGGUCUGAGAGGAUGUCCGGCCACACUGGAACUGAGACACGGUCCAGACACCUACGGGUGGCAGCAGUCGAGAAUCAUUCACAAUGGGGGAAACCCUGAUGGUGCGACGCCGCGUGGGGGAUAAGGUCUUCGGAUUGUAAACCCCUGUCAUGUGGGACAUUAAAAAGAUAGUACCACAAGAGGAAGAGACGGCUAACUCUGUGCCAGCAGCCGCGGUAAUACAGAGGUCUCAAGCGUUGUUCGGAAU